rnacentral:tRNA from 1 species
GCCUGGGUGGCUCAGUCGGUUAAGCAUCUGACUUCAGCUCAGGUCAUGAUCUUAAAGUCCGUGAGUUCGAGCUCCACAUCGGGCU